GGAUCAUUGUCGAAAUCGAACGGAAGAACGACCCGCGAAUCGUCAUUGCGUAGUAGAUAGGGCCCGCGAGCACCUAACGCUCACGGGUCUCGCGUCGCGUCGGCGCGGGUGUACUCGAGACCCGCGUCGUACCGGCGGACAAACAACGUCAGCACGGAUCGUGCCAAGGACCUGCAUGGAGAGAAUCGUCGUCCCACGCCUUUGAUAGUCCUCGACGCGGGACGGGGGACGUACGCAAUCUCUACUCAAGUCUAAACGACUCUCGGCAACGGAUAUCUCGGCUCUUGCAUCGAUGAAGAACGUAGCGAAAUGCGAUACUUGGUGUGAAUUGCAGAAUCCCGUGAACCAUCAAUUCUUUGAACGCAAGUUGCGCCCGAAGCCAUUCGGCCGAGGGCACGCCUGCCUGGGCGUCGUGAAUCCCCUUGCCCCUAGGCACCCGCAUGAGCAUUGGCGGGGAUAUAUGCUGGGGCGCAGAGUAUGGUCUCCCGUGGUAUCGGCAUGCACGGCAUGUCGAGGUGCGGUUGGCCGAAAAUCGAGCAUGGCGGUGACGGGCACCACGGCGUUCGGUGGAUCGAAUGAGAUUGGCUGCGUCGUGGGCUCGGCAUGCGGCGGGCUCCGGACUUUGAAUAUCCCCGAGUGCGAUCCCAGGUCAGGCGGGGCUACCCGCUGAGUUUAAGCAUAUCAAUAAGCGGAGGAAAAGAAACUAACGAGGAUUCCCUUAGUAGCGGC
rnacentral:rRNA from 1 species